CUCUCUCUCUCAUCUUUCCCCCCCAGGGCAGUCAAGCUUAUCGAGCUAGUUCUUGUGCUUGCGGUGAUGCUGCUGCUGCUUCAUGUGCACAAUGUUGCGGUUUUAGAGUAUGCCUAGGAUGCCUGUUGAAUCGCAGUGCUUUUCUUCGAAAUGAAAAUAACUGUAGGUUUAUAAUAUGCUCGAUCGCGUCGUUUUAUGUGCAGAUGCUGCAUGUUUCGCUUUCGUUAGCUGCGAUUUUGGCAGAAGAUUGCUUUUUGAGUUGAUUUGUAGAUAGGACUAGCCUCCUAGGCGGCGCACUCAUGCCGUCCAUCUGCGAGCGGGUGGUUAAUUAUGUCGUCUGCUUCGCGGCGAGACUGGUGUUGUGGUGGGAUUUCUGCACCUCAUGUUGGUAAACUUUUGCAUAUUUGCACUGCUGCGAAUCUUUGUGCAAAAUGGUCUAGCUUACAGCAUGUGUUUAAAUUCAAGAUUGAUUCAUUUCCACUUCAUUAAUUGUUGGAACUAAAUCUGACUCUGUGUUUUUACUCUUUGUUUUAUGCCACGCUUUUGCAAAUCUUCGGCGCGGGCUGUCCAUGGGCGUGGCUUGGAGUUGAUGUUCUCAACAUGUUUGGAGUUGAUGUUCUCAACCUCCAUCGCCGGCAAUGGGCGUGGCUUGAUGCUGCCAACUAUCCAAGGCUACAAACAUUCUCGUGCGUGGUUAGAACUUGAGGGACAACAAUACUUUAGUCUUAUCGAAUGAAGUGUUUGAGCUAGGAAUAUUCAAGAUUGGUGGGUCUUCCUCAAGCAACUACUACCUGGGCAUUUGGUUCAGGGAUGAUCCUUAAAAGAAACCAGUCUGGGUCGCAAAUCGAGAUUACCCGCUUCUUGAUUCUUCUUUUGUACUCUCCAUCAGGUAUAAUGGGAACUUGGUGAUAUCCGAUAGAAAGCAGAUUCCGUAUUUAGUCAAUGCCGAGAUGUUAUCUACUUGUAAUAGCACAAGUGUGAUAUUGCUGGAUUUUGGCAAUUUUGUUCUAAUAGAAGGCAAUAGCACGGUUUG